CCUACGGGAGGCAGCAGUAGGGAAUAUUGCUCAAUGGGGGAAACCCUGAAGCAGCAACGCCGCGUGGAGGAUGAAGGUUUUCGGAUUGUAAACUCCUUUUGUUAGAGAAGAUAAUGACGGUAUCUAACGAAUAAGCACCGGCUAACUCCGUGCCAGCAGCCGCGGUAAUACGGAGGGUGCAAGCGUUACUCGGAAUCACAGGGCGUAAAGAGCGCGUAGGCGGGAUAGCAAGUCAGAUGUGAAAUCCUAUGGCUUAACCAUAGAACUGCAUUUGAAACUGUUAUUCUAGAGUAUGGGAGAGGUAGGUGGAAUUCUUGGUGUAGGGGUGAAAUGCGUAGAGAUCAAGAGGAAUACUCAUUGCGAAGGCGACCUGCUAGAACAUAACUGACGCUGAUGCGCGAAAGCGUGGGGAGCAAACAGGAUUAGAUACCCCGGUAGUC
rnacentral:rRNA from 1 species